GGGUUGUGAGGUUAAGCGACUAAGCGUACACGGUGGAUGCCCUGGCAGUCAGAGGCGAUGAAGGACGUGCUAAUCUGCGAUAAGCGCCGGUAAGGUGAUAUGAACCGUUAUAACCGGCGAUUUCCGAAUGGGGAAACCCAGUGUGACUCGUCACACUAUCAUUAACUGAAUCCAUAGGUUAAUGAGGCGAACCGGGGGAACUGAA
rnacentral:rRNA from 2 species